rnacentral:rRNA from 1 species
AUGGAGGCCAGCGCGGCGGAGAAGGCUCCGGUGACGGCGAGCGGUGGCGCCCGGCGGGUGCUGCUGUUCCCGCUGCCGUUCCAGGGCCACCUGAACCCGAUGCUGCAGCUGGCGGACGUGCUGCACGCCCGGGGCCUCCGCGUCACCGUCUUCCACGCCGCCUUCAACGCACCGGACCGCGUGGCAGGGUACCACUUCGUGCCCGUCGGCGCCGGCGUGCCGACGGCCGACCUCGUCCCCACCGGCAGCAACGCCGACUUCGCCGGGGCGCUGCUGCGCAUCAACGAGCGCCUGCAGGGGCCUUUCGAGGACAGCCUCCGCGAGGUGCUGCAGGAGGAGGACCAUGAGGGAGCGCGGCCGGCGUGCCUCGUGCUGGACUCUAACCUCCGGAGCAUGCAGGUGGUCGCGGACCGGCUCGGCGUGCCGACGCUAGUGCUGCGCACGGGUGGCGCCGCCUGCCUCGUGGCCUACAUGGCCUUCCCGGCGCUCUGCGACAAGGGCCUCCUCCCGCCACAAGACCAUUCGCAACUGAACUUGCCACUGGAUGAUCUCCCACCACUCCGCCUGCAAGACAUGGUCUUCUCAACCACAACUCCACAUGAAACGAUGACCACCUGCCUAGAACGCAUUGUGGAAUCGGCAAAGUGUUCUUCAGGUGUCAUCCUCAACACCUUCAAUGACCUCGAAGGUGUCGAGCUCCGAAAGAUCAUUGAUGGCGUGGGUGUCCCGGUGUAUGCGAUUGGUCCUCUUUACAAGAUAUCCUCAGGUGUCAAAAGCAGCCUGUUGUCUUCGGAUCAAACUUGUUUGGAUUGGCUGGACAAGCAAGAGGCAAAGUCUGUUUUGUUCGUGAGCUUUGGGAGCUUGGCUUCCAUGGAUCAGGAAGAGCUAGUGGAGACUGCAUGGGGCUUGGCCAAUAGCCGCAUGCCAUUUCUUUGGGUCAUCAGGCCUGACGCGGUUCAUGGUUCAGGGAACGUAGGCCUACCUGACGGCUUUGAGGAAGAGACACAAGGUACGGGGAUGGUGGUGAGUUGGGCUCCACAACAAGAUGUUCUUGGGCACCAAGCAAUUGGUGGCUUUUGGACCCAUAACGGCUGGAACUCAACAUUGGAAAGCAUAUGCGAGGGUGUUCCGAUGAUAUGUAGACCUCAUUUUGCUGACCAAAUGAUAAAUGCCAGGUAUGUCGAGGAGGUGUGGAAAGUAGGGUUUGAGUUAGAGGGCAAGUUGGAGCGGGGGAACAUUGAGAGGGGUAUUAGAAAGUUGUUGUGCGAAGAAGGUGGAGAGAUGAGGCGAAGAGCAGAUGAUCUCAAGGACAAAGCAACCCGGUGUAUAAAGAAAGGCGGCUCUUCUCAAACUAUGGUUGAUUUGCUGGUGAACUGCAUAAUGUCAUUACCUUCUUCCAUUUCGAUGGGAUUAGUUUGA